rnacentral:rRNA from 1 species
UACGUAGGGGGCAAGCGUUGUCCGGAUUUAUUGGGCGUAAAGAGCGUGUAGGCGGUUUGGUAGGUCCGCUGUGAAAACUCGAGGCUCAACCUCGAGACGCCGGUGGAAACCAUCAGACUAGAGUCCGGAAGAGGAGAGUGGAAUUCCUGGUGUAGCGGUGAAAUGCGCAGAUAUCAGGAGGAACACCAGCGGCGAAGGCGGCGCUCUGGGCCGGAACUGACGCUGAGGAGCGAAAGCGUGGGGAGCGAACAGG